CGCAAGCAGCCUAUUGGUCGGCUGUAGCCUUCCCGUGUCGCUCAGGUAACGGAGAACCUGCUCAUUAGGCCCUGCGGGUGAAGAUGAUGGAGUAGUUUUUUCAGUAGCGUAUAAAUAAACGUGAAUUUGAGUCGUUCGGGUUUCCCAGAGAGAGAAACUUGCCCGGCUACAGACUGACUGACAAGAGAGAAGCUAAUCUCUAAAGCUAAGCUAUCAGAACCGACCCGACUGGGACGUUUCUUUCCAAUUAAGCAGAUCAUCCCGGCUGUUGGAGGACGCUUCCUGUUGACAACAUGGAGGUGCUGCCUGCUUCCUGAUCCGCUCUGAGGUUUCAUCUGGAUGCUGUACUCCACCGAGGGACGGGAGACUCAACUCGAGACGAAAAUGGAAACACCGAUAAACAUGGCGGUGUGUCUCCUUUGGGCCUGCGCCUGCGCCACAAUUUUCUGAGGCCCUGCUGAGCACGAGGAGGCCGAGACAGACCUCGUCCCGUCAGAGACCGAGACGAGUCUCAGCGGAGACGUGAAGUGGAAAUUAAAUGUACACGCGAACAUAUAAAUAAAACCAAAGGCCAGUUAAGCUUAUAUGUCAAAUAAUCUUACGUAAUAACUUUAAUUUUCCAAACCAAAUAAAAUGCUGUUCUUAACGAAAAAUGUGUCAUUUAGCACAAUGAAGUGUAAAUAAUAUUUAUGUAAAUAUAUUUAUGGUUUUUUUUAUAUUUCGGGGUUAUAGUUCAUCCAUUUUGUCUUCCAAAACGGAAGAGGAAGUGAGACGCAGUGAAACCGCAAAACCGCACACGCGCGGGCACGUUAGUGUCAUAAACUUCAUCAAUCCAAGAAUGUGCAGAAGUUUUACUGGCAGGAUGAUUUGUUACCUUCUCUGUGUUUGCUGUGUUUUACGUAAUUUGCGUCAAAUAAAUGUAACAGAUUUGACUAAAUGU